rnacentral:rRNA from 1 species
AUUGAACGCUGGCGGCAUGCUUUACACAUGCAAGUCGAACGGUAACAGGCCGCAAGGUGCUGACGAGUGGCGAACGGGUGAGUAAUGCAUCGGAACGUGCCCAGUCGUGGGGGAUAACUGCUCGAAAGAGCAGCUAAUACCGCAUACGAUCUCUGGAUGAAAGCGGGGGACCGUAAGGCCUCGCGCGAUUGGAGCGGCCGAUGUCAGAGUAGGUAGUUGGUGGGGUAAAGGCUCACCAAGCCAACGAUCUGUAGCUGGUCUGAGAGGGCGACCAGCCACACUGGGACUGAGACACGGCCCAGACUCCUACGGGAGGCAGCAGUGGGGAAUUUUGGACAAUGGGGGCAACCCUGAUCCAGCAAUGCCGCGUGCAGGAAGAAGGCCUUCGGGUUGUAAACUGCUUUUGUACGGAACGAAACGGUCUGGGUUAAUACCCUGGGCUAAUGACGGUACCGUAAGAAUAAGCACCGGCUAACUACGUGCCAGCCGCCGCAGUAAGAC